AUUGAACGCUGGCGGCAGGCUUAACACAUGCAAGUCGAGCGGGGGAAGGUAGCUUGCUACCGGACCUAGCGGCGGACGGGUGAGUAAUGCUUAGGAAUCUGCCUAUUAGUGGGGGACAACAUCUCGAAAGGGAUGCUAAUACCGCAUACGUCCUACGGGAGAAAGCAGGGGAUCUUCGGACCUUGCGCUAAUAGAUGAGCCUAAGUCGGAUUAGCUAGUUGGUGGGGUAAAGGCCGACCAAGGCGACGAUCUGUAGCGGGUCUGAGAGGAUGAGCCGCCACACUGGGACUGAGACACUGCCCAGACUCCUACGGGAGGCAGCAGUGGGGAAUAUUGGACAAUGGGGGGAACCCUGAUCCAGCCAUGCCGCGUGUGUGAAGAAGGCCUUAUGGUUGUAAAGCACUUUAAGCGAGGAGGAGGCUACUUUAGUUAAUACCUAGAGAUAGUGGACGUUACUCGCAGAAUAAGCACCGGCUAACUCUGUGCCAGCAGCCGCGGUAA
rnacentral:rRNA from 1 species